rnacentral:tRNA from 1 species
GCCCUGAUCGCUUAGUUGGUUAAAGCGAAGGUCUCAUAAUCCUUAGCCCGCAGUUCGAAUCUGCGUCGGGGCA